ACUAUACAAUGAAUCCCCCACGGCUCUUCUUGCUCCAGGUGUUCCACAGCGUUCUGCUCUGGGCCCCUUUCUCUUUGUAAACUAUAUAAUCUGUCUUUGUCAUAUAAUUCAUCAGUUUUCACUGCACCAAUGCUACAUAGAUGAGUCACCCACUUCUCUGCCCCUCAAGACUGUCUUCUACCACCUUCAUUAUAUUUCCAGACUCCGCCCCCUGAUUAUCAGCAGUGAUUCAGAAAUGUAGAUUAGUGUCUUUAUCAGUUCCCACCUUCAUCACUGUAAUGACCUUCUUAGUGGACUCCCAGUUAAACUCCUCCCUAAAUAACAGUCUGUUCAGAACUCAGCAGCUGGAGUCCUCACUCACACUAAGCACUCUGCCCUCAUCACACCUGCUCUCCAUAAACUGCACUGCUUAUCUGUCCCUUUGUGUGGUCAGUACAGGCUGCUGCUCAUGACUUUCACAGACAUACAUGGCCUUGACCUUCAUACAUUACUGAACUCCUUCAUCUCUACACGCCAGCUCGGACACUCAGGUCUUCUGGAACUGGUCUGAUUAGAGUGAAUCAGACUGUCCUCAGUCAGUGGUAGAGAAUUUAGUGGAACAGCUCCAAAACUCUGGAACUCACCUCUAUCUCUGUCUUUAACACACAACUCAAAACCCACCUGUUUACUCAGUGCUUUACCUCCCUUUACACUUUCAUUCAGAUGGAACUGAUGCUUUUCUACUGUAUGUUAGAGCUCUUUCUGUUUGUUUCUGCACUCGUUCUGUUUCACUGUUACCUGCUUUGAGUUAAUAAAGGUGCUGUAUUAAUAAAACAUAUUAUUAUUUGACUGACGCACUGAUGGUGAUCAGCAGCACUAAAGUAAGAAGUGAAACCAGCCCCCCACAGCCCACCCAGCUGAACACAAACAAGCAGUUUUAAGCAGUAAUCAGUCAGACAGAGAGAGAGAGAGCAGUGGGGUGAAACUCAGAUUUGCAUGAACAGGCCUGAGUCGUCCUCUUUCUCCCAGAAUAGAGCAGCACUUUCACCAGAUGUUCAGCUUAAUUCAGCCAAACUCCCUCAAGAUCAACACACAGCACUGCACUGAAUCUACAGCUGAACUCCCUCUCUAACAACACUGACCAUCACCAUUCAUUACAGUAAAGAACUCAGACUAAACUCAAAAGAACUGGAAACUCUGCAGCAGCACUAAUGCAUUCUAGCACUGGAGAACAUUUACUAGUUCCUCUUUACACAGUGGAACAACUAGAACUUUCCUAACUCAUAAUCUAACUAACAUCAGAUGAAGUGUCAUAAAAACAGUUCAAACCUCUCAUUAAAACCUGUGAAUGUCUUCAUACAGGAGAAUCUCACUGACCUCAGACAAGCUGAUCAUCAUGAUCUGUAACUGAUAAUGAGGUGAUUAAAUGAAUCUCCUGUUUAAAUAGAAUAAAAGUCUCUUUUCACAGUGAGUUUGGUUCCUCCACUGAAAGUGAACCACAGUGAUACAUUUCAGUGAAGUCAUUGUACAUAAACCUCCAUCACUCAUCACUGUUUACCCUGAACUCUUCUACACUCAUCAACUAUUUAUGACCUUUAGAAAUGAACGUCUGACACUGAAUUAACAGAACUGAGCUAAUACUUUAUAAUCAUAUCUAAAUAAUCAUAUGUGUUUAUUAUAGAGGUGUUUGGUGAGUCCAUUUCCAUAGAGGCUCCACUUUGCAUUAUCAGCCCAUGCUUCAGUGCUCUGCUAGUGUUUAUAGUCCUGUGAGUUUAACACUUCAUGACUGAGAGCUGCUGCCCCACAAACUUCACCCACAGCAACCAUGACUUUGGUCUCCAUCUUCAUCUGGACACUGACCCUCUGGACUCAAGAGUCCUUUGGGGACGUCAUCCUGACUCAGACUCCAGGAUCUCAGACUGUUUCACCAGGAGACUCUGUUACUAUCAGCUGCAGAGCCAGUCAGAGUAUCAGCAGCUGGCUUGCCUGGUAUCUGCAGAAACCCGGAGAAGCUCCUAAACUCCUGAUCUAUUCUUCUAAUAGCCGUCAGUCUGGUGUUCCAGAUCGUUUCAGUGGGAGUGGAUCUGGAACAGAUUUUACUCUAAAGAUCAGUGGAGUUCAGCCUGAAGAUACAGGAGAUUAUUACUGUCAGCAGUAUAGCAGUGGGUUCACAGUGUUAGAGUGUGAUACAAAAACCUCCCUCAGCUGUAGAGGAACUGCUCUGACUCAGAAACCCUCACUGAUCUCAGAACAGCUGCUAAAGCUGCACUCAACUGAACUCAUCAACUCAAAACACUACAGGACAUUUACAGCAUUUGGCAGACGCUCUUAUCCAGAGCGACUUACAGUUGGAUCAUUUGAUUUGCUGACAGUAGGCUGGGAGUCCUUGGUGGCCUCACAGGUCACUGUCUUCUUUAGCCACUGGUCCCCCUGGAGGGUCAGGGUGCUGCUCCAGCUGUAG